rnacentral:rRNA from 1 species
GACGAACGCUGGCGGCGUGCUUAACACAUGCAAGUCGAACGAAGUGGCGAACGGGUGAGUAAUACGUGAGUAACCUGCCCUCCUUUUUGGGAUAAGCCUUGGAAACGGGGUCUAAUACCGACUACAGGGGGAUGGGCUCGCGGCCUAUCAGCUUGUUGGUGGGGUGAUGGACUACCCAGGCGGUGACGGGGAGCCGGCCUGAGAGGGUGACCGGCCACAGUGGGACUGUGAUACGGCCCAGCGGCCUACGGGAGGCAGCAGUGGGGGAUAUUGCACAAUGGGCGAAAGCCGGAUGCAGCGACGCCGCGGGGGGGAUGACGGCUUGUGUGUUGUAAACCUCUUUCGCGAUCGAGCGGGUAGGUGGAGAAGAAGCGCCGGCUAACUACGUGCCAGCAGCCGCGGUAAUAC